UUCUACAGGGUCAAAUUAAGGACAGGAUAGA
rnacentral:piRNA from 1 species